GACGUAGGGCGCGAGCGUUUGUCCGGAUUUAUUGGGCGUAAAGAGCUCGUAGGCGGCUUGUUGCGUCAGCUGUGAAAACCCGCAGCUCAACUGUGGGCUUGCAGCCGAUACGGGCAGGCUAGAGUUCGGUAGGGGAGACUGGAAUUCCUGGUGUAGCGGUGAAAUGCGCAGAUAUCAGGAGGAACACCGAUGGCGAAGGCAGGUCUCUGGGCCACUACUGACGCUGAGAAGCGAAAGCAUGGGGAGCGAACAGG
rnacentral:rRNA from 1 species